rnacentral:rRNA from 1 species
CAGUCGCCGCGGUAAUGCGUAGGUGGCAAGCGUUGUCCGGAAUUAUUGGGCGUAAAGGGCUCGCAGGCGGUUUCUUAAGUCUGAUGUGAAAGCCCCCGGCUCAACCGGGGAGGGUCAUUGGAAACUGGGAAACUUGAGUGCAGAAGAGGAGAGUGGAAUUCCACGUGUAGCGGUGAAAUGCGUAGAGAUGUGGAGGAACACCAGUGGCGAAGGCGACUCUCUGGUCUGUAACUGACGCUGAGGAGCGAAAGCGUGGGGAGCGAACAGGAUUAGAUACCCCAGUAGUCCCUGUCUCUUAUAA